AGAGCCAAGAAUGACUUGCCGACAAUUGCCUGAUAGCAAAACUAUGCUGCCGGGAAGUCAUUCUGGCUCU
rfam:Jatropha curcas cultivar GZQX0401 scaffold16_229, whole genome shotgun sequence.